rnacentral:rRNA from 1 species
AGAGUUUGAUCCUGGCUCAGAUUGAACGCUGGCGGCAUGCCUUACACAUGCAAGUCGAACGGCAGCGGGGGAGCUUGCUCCUGCCGGCGAGUGGCGAACGGGUGAGUAAUGCAUCGGAACGUGUCCUGUUGUGGGGGAUAACUGAUCGAAAGAUCAGCUAAUACCGCAUGAGACCUGAGGGUGAAAGCGGGGGAUCGCAAGACCUCGCGCGACAGGAGCGGCCGAUGUCUGAUUAGCUAGUUGGUGAGAUAAAAGCUUACCAAGGCGACGAUCAGUAGCUGGUCUGAGAGGAUGAUCAGCCACAUUGGGACUGAGACACGGCCCAGACUCCUACGGGAGGCAGCAGUGGGGAAUUUUGGACAAUGGGGGAAACCCUGAUCCAGCCAUGCCGCGUGCGGGAUGAAGGCCUUCGGGUUGUAAACCGCUUUUGUCAGAGACGAAAAGGGACGCACGAAUAAUGCGUCCCGCUGACGGUAUCUGAAGAAUAAGCACCGGCUAACUACGUCCCAGCAGCCGCGGUAAUACGUAGGGUGCAAGCGUUAAUCGGAAUUACUGGGCGUAAAGGGUGCGCAGGCGGCUGUGCAAGACAGAUGUGAAAUCCCCGGGCUUAACCUGGGAACUGCAUUUGUGACUGCACGGCUAGAGUUUGUCAGAGGAGGGUGGAAUUCCGCGUGUAGCAGUGAAAUGCGUAGAUAUGCGGAGGAACACCGAUGGCGAAGGCAAUCCCCUGGGCCUGUACUGACGCUCAUGCACGAAAGCGUGGGGAGCAAACAGGAUUAGAUACCCUUGUAGUCCUAUCAGGCAUCUUAC